UAUGGAUUGUGCAGCAUGAUUUGCUUUUUGGCCUAGUGAUAUUGAGGUGUGACCCAUUAAACAUCCAUCAACAUUUUGUUGGUUCAAGUCCCAUGGUGGAAAAGUUUGGAUAUAUUGCUUUCCAACAUUAUUAUAUGUCUGUUAACUGGAUAAGUACAAAUGUUUUUUCCCAUUCAACAUAGACCAACAAACAUGAAAAAAAAAUCCAACCUUGACCUAAACCCCAUGUAGAAAAGAGCUUAAGAUCCAUAAACUUGAAAUCUUGGAUAUAUAUAUAUCUUACAUAAAAUGCCCCUAGUAUACAAGUACAAAACAAUGUAUAGAAAGAAAAAAAGUGUCCUCUUCUGGUGAACAGGCAUAUUUCGAGCAAUUGGAAGACUAUAGUCAAAGCGAUUAACUCUACUAAGGUUGCAAACCUCGGGCUGAAUCAACUCAUUAAAGGUGCUUGUGGCAAUGGUCUGGAUAUCAAAUUCUGGCUGGAUGUGUGGGCAGUUAAUGAACCAUUCAAAGAUUGUUUUCCAAAUCUUUUUGCACUUGUAAAGGUCAAAAAUUGUAAGGUGUUCAAUCGCCACGACAGGGGCUUUGCCUCAACCUCGCCAUCUUGGAAUUGGAAGAGAACUCCUCGAUCGGAUGAGGAAAUGGAGGAGUGGAAAAAGUUGUGCACCUGUCUGGAUGGGUUACAUCUCUCAGAAUCAUGUGACAAGUGGUUUUGGCAAGGUAUUGAUGACGGUAUAAUCAGUAAAGGGUCUUAUCCAUAGCUCUAAAGACUAUGGCAACAGGUAUGUUUUCUCUUGGUCUAAAUGGGUUUCUCUUAAGGUGAAUAUCUUUAUGUGGAGGGUAGUCAUGGAUCGUAUUCCGACGUUGGAGGCCCUUAGUGUUCGAAAUUGUGUUUUUGGUGAUGGUUUAUGCGAGCUAUGUGGGGACAAUCUAGAAACAGUGGACCAUUUGUUUUGUGGUUGUGAACUAGCAAACUUGAUCUGGAACUUCGUUAGCAUUUGGUGUAAGGCAAACCCGUUUUUCGUCUUUACCAUUACAGAUUUGGUUGAGAUAUACGAGAAUGUGGGAAUUGGGAAGAAGGAAAGGAAGGAUCUAAAAGGAAUCAUCAUGGUAGCUUUGCUGGUGUAUCCGGAAGACGAGGAACGAAAGAAGGUUUUCAAACUCUAACUUCCAUAUCCAUAAGAUUGUACAAGAUAUUAAGGCGCUCUCGUUCAUUUGGUAUAGAAAUAGGAAGAAGACUUUUCAAGAAAAAAAAAAUAGGAAGAAGAAUGAAUGCAUCAGUCGGUCGGAUUGGAGCAGUUUUAAUAUAAUGUAAUUGUUGUAUAUUCGAUGUAAUAGUUGUAUCACCGGUUUUGGUGGAUACUUGUGAAUGAAAUUUACCUUUAAAAAAAAAAAAGUGUCAAAAUCUCUUGCAGGCCAUUUCUUUUCUCUACUCAUCAACACACAUUCCCAACAAAUUCCCAUCUUUUCCCUCUCCAAUAUUUUCCUCAAAUACUCACAGCCCAUAACAGCCUGCGAACAGAGUAAAGAACAGAGUGACGGGAUCCAAGAUCAAUUACAAGAAGACGACCCAUUUAAGUAAGAUGACGAGAAAAGGAGCACACAGAUGGCCAGAUGUACACCGGAACUUGAAGUUUCUCUUGUUAUUAUAAAAUUCCAACACUUACUAGUAUCCAUUUAAUUCGUGGAUUAUUCUUUUGGUUAACAGAUAGUAACUUUGGGUGGUGGUCCUCAAAUUACGUCUUCUAAUCAAAUCGUUUAUGAGCGAGAUAAUGAACCUCUUGGACCGGCAAACAUACUAUUUGACUUCUGAAAGGAGGUUGGGUGUCAGCAAUGUUGGACAAAGGGACAACCCAGGAUAUACCGCAUCGAGUUCACGCCAGUUCACAAACAUUUUAGAUUCGGAACUGUUCCAAACACUGUGAAUAUCAGCCGGAUCUUUAAGAUACUACGGUUUAGGCCUAGAGAACGGUAACUACACCGUGAAUCUUCAGUUUGCAGAACUACCUAAAGAAGAUGGCCAAACUUGGAGAAGCAGAGGAAGGCGUGUCUUUGACAUUUAUCUGCAGGAACUUGGAGUUUCAAGAUUUCGACAUAAAACAAGCAGGAGAGGGAGUCUCUUUCAGACUUGUUACUAGGGAAGCAAUUGUUCAGGUUUCAAAUAACUACCUUGAGAUACACUUAUUCUGGUAUAGGAAAGGAACUUGUUGUGUGCCUAAUCAAUGAACUUUUGGACCUCUUAUCUAAGCAGUCAGUGCCACCUCAAAUUUCACCCCCACUGGCAACAAUCCACCUUCAAGAAGGAAGACGAACAGGACCGAUUUGAUUGUACGGAUUUUGGUCCCCAUUGUGGUUGUAUGGUUUCUGUCAUUAUAAGUCAGUAUAUAUUAUUCGUCACCGUAGGAAAAAGCAGGAUACCUCCGACAAUUAUGAAGAGUUUUUGGCAAUUGAUGCUAAACCAUAUACCUUUAGUUAUGGAGAGCUAAGAGAUGCAACAGGUGAUUUUAGUCCUGAAAAUAAGCUUGGCGAGGGAGGUUUUCGACCUGUUAUAAGGCAGUAUAUGCAUUAUAUCAAGAGUACAUAGUUGCUUCCGUAGGUCAAAACCCCCUAAAUUCUCUUGGAUGGUGAACAGGGAAAACUAGACGACGGGAGACUAAUUGUUACGGGUCAUUAGGAUUAAGGGUCAUAUUAGUCGAGUUUAAUAGUUUAGGGGGGUCUUUUGUAAUUGUCAAAUGGUUGUUAACAUUAGAGGGAAAGUUAGUUACAACGAAAUCAACAUAUAUACUCAAUUACUUGUAAUAUUGUGACGGUUAUGAAUAAAUCAAAUCAUUUCUCUCC